rnacentral:rRNA from 1 species
GACGAACCGUGCGAACGUUAUUCGGAAUCACUGGGCUUAAAGCGCGUGUAGGCGGGCCGGCACGUCGGUCGCUGAAAUCCCCCGGCUCAACCGGGGAAGGGGCGCCGAUACGACCGGCCUGGAGGGACGUAGGGGGAGCUGGAACUUCCGGUGGAGCGGUGAAAUGCGUUGAGAUCGGAAGGAACGCCCGUGGCGAAAGCGAGCUCCUGGACGUUUUCUGACGCUGAGACGCGAAAGCCAGGGGAGCGAACGGG